UACGAAGGGGGCUAGCGUUGCUCGGAAUCACUGGGCGUAAAGCGCACGUAGGCGGGUUGUUAAGUCAGGGGUGAAAUCCUGGAGCUCAACUCCAGAACUGCCUUUGAUACUGGCGAUCUUGAGUCCGGGAGAGGUGAGUGGAACUGCGAGUGUAGAGGUGAAAUUCGUAGAUAUUCGCAAGAACACCAGUGGCGAAGGCGGCUCACGGGCCCGGUACUGACGCUGAGGUGCGAAAGCGUGGGGAGCAAACAGG
rnacentral:rRNA from 1 species